AGAACGAACGCUGGCGGCAUGCCUAAUACAUGCAAGUCGAACGAACUCUUCGGAGUUAGUGGCGCACGGGUGCGUAACGCGUGGGAAUCUGCCCCUUGGUUCGGAAUAACAGUUGGAAACGAAUGCUAAUACCGGAUGAUGACGAAAGUCCAAAGAUUUAUCGCCAAGGGAUGAGCCCGCGUAGGAUUAGCUAGUUGGUGAGGUAAAGGCUCACCAAGGCAACGAUCCUUAGCUGGUCUGAGAGGAUGAUCAGCCACACUGGGACUGAGACACGGCCCAGACUCCUACGGGAGGCAGCAGUAGGGAAUAUGGACAAUGGGCGAAAGCCUGAUCCAGCAAUGCCGCGUGAGUGAUGAAGGCCUUAGGUUGUAAAGCUCUUUUACCCGAGAUGAUAAUGACAGUAUCGGAGAAUAAGCCCCGGAUAACGUCCGUGCCAGCAGCCGC
rnacentral:rRNA from 1 species